rnacentral:lncRNA from 1 species
AGCUGGAUAACUUCUCCAUCGCCCUCCUAAACAGUACCCACAGCAGGUGUGUGUGUGUAUUGUGUGCGUGUCUGUGUGUGUAUUGUGUGUGUGUCUGUGUUUGUGUGUGUUGUGUGUGUGUCUCAUCAUGCUGACUCUCUCCUCUCCCUCCCCAGGCCUGUGUUAGCUGACAGCUGGUACUCCGUGUCCUAUCUCUACUUCAGUCCUAUCGGCACGCUCACGGCAUUGGCUGUCGCCAUCAUUACCAGCCUGCUAACAGGAAACAGGAAGUUCAAGCCUUCAGCAGGAUUAACCCUAUGCAAGGAAGACCUCACCCUCUACUGUCUCCUGAGUCUCCUGAGAGAGAAGGUACCGGUCAUGACAAACAAACACCUCAGAUGUCAGGGCAUCUCUUAGUGUCUCCCCCAUAAGGCUGCAAACACACCA